AGCAGCCGCGGUAAUUCCAGCUCCAAUAGCGUAUAUUAAAGUUGCUGCAGUUAAAAAGCUCGUAGUUGAAUUUCGGGAUCAAUAUGUUGGUCGUGCCUCGGUACGUACUAGCUUAUUGGUUUCUUCCUUCUGACGAACCAUAAUGUCAUUUAUUUGGUGUUAUGGGGAAUCAGGACUGUUACUUUAGAAAAAUUAGAGUGUUUAAAGCAGGCUCACGCUUGAAUACAUUAGCAUGGAAUAAUGAAAUAGGACGUUUGAUUCUAUUUUGUUGGUUUCUAGGAUCGACGUAAUGAUUAAUAGGGAUAGUUGGGGGCAGUUAGUAUUCAAUUGUCAGAGGUGAAAUUCUUGGAUUUAUUGAAGACUAACUACUGCGAAAGCAUUUGCCAAGGAUGUUUUCAUUAAUCAAGAACGAAAGUUAGGGGAUCGAAGACGAUCAGAUACCGUCGUAGUCUUAACCAUAAACUAUAGCCGACUAGGGAUCGGAUGGUGUUUAAUUUUUUAAUGUAACUUCAAUUCGGCG
rnacentral:rRNA from 1 species